CGGGGGGACAGGUGGCUGAUGCCUCCCCUCCCCGUUUGUUUUGACAUUGUGAUCAAAGGGAUUUGGAGAGCCUGGGGGGUCUGGAGAGGAAGAGAAUUGAGACGUGGCAAUAAACAAACAAGGGAGACUGAAUGGUCCGAGGCACAUUCUCGCUUCCAGCCACAGGUAUAAAAGGCCAUGCCUGUCCCGCAGUGGCCUCCACACUGAGGAAUCGGCACCCUCUCCCAGGCCUGCCAGGGAUGGGGAUGGAGGCCAGCCUGCUCCUGGGGCUCACCUGCCUCUGCUCCCCACUGACUGCUCUGGUCCUGAAUGGCAACACCAUCAGGGGGGCGGCUGAAGCAUCUGGCUCCAGGAAGAGCACGCCGUGCUUGACGGACCGAGACUGUCCGGCCGAGGGAUUCUGCCCGGAGCCCGGCGAGGAGCCGCCCUUCUGCGCCGCGUGCAGGGGGCUGCGGAAGAGGUGCCGCCGCAACGCCAUGUGCUGCCCAGGGACGCUCUGCCUCAACGACGUGUGCAGCCUGGCUGAAAAGAGCGCCUUGGCUGGAGAAAGGAGAGAGAGGGGCCAGGCUGGCCUGGGCUCCAAAGACCUGCUCCGGCACCCAGUUCCAGCAAGUCAUGCCCUAAAGGAAGGAGAUUCCCCCACACCACACGGCGGAGGUAUAUAGGAGACAAGAAAUAUUAUUUUCACUUCACUAUUUGUGGUGACUGAAAUGUGCAACUGGAACAUGUGAAGAUAUGCCUUGAUUUUAAACAUAACAUUCAAGAAAGAACUCAUACCUGCUUGGCAGAAUCAGAAGUGAAAUCUGGAUGAGUCAAGAGGAUAUCCAUAUCUCCACUUGAUUCUGCACCUAUGAAAAGAGUAUGUAUCAAGACACUAAAUCCUGCUUUGGAAAUCUUGCUCACAGGUUAAGAAAAAUCCAUCCAAAGUUACAAGAUUUCCAGAGGUUUUUUUGCAUUGGUUCUUCAGCUCUUUCAUGUUUGUUGAAGGUUCAACUACUGCCAUGAUUGUGUGAGCAACAGUCACGCUUACGCAACUUGAAGAGCACUGGAAAGCACCGCGACAGCUUUCCCUGUUCAGUCCUAUAGUUCACUGAGUAUAGAAAGAGAGCAAUACCAAGUGACCACGGUGUAGAGAAAAAGUCCUUUAAUCCCAGCAUGGAACCACCAGCACGGCCAGCUAAAGAGAUGCUGGGAACUAGAGGACUUCUUGUUCCAAUGCACAGUGGUUGGAACUGUUGCUUCUCCCCACAGUCCAGCACUGCACUUUGGAGAUCCUCAUCUAAACAAAUCCCAGAAGUUGGAGGCACAGAAACCUGCUGGCUGGUGCAGGAAAAGCCCAAACAAAAGCAGGAUAUAAAUCUCAUAAUAAAUAAAUGGGAAACCUGCAUUUGUAGCAGAUGAGAUAUACAACCCACAGACGUGGCCAACUGACUGAACAAGUUACAAGGAGCACAUUAAACAGCAUGGACCACCAACCUCGGCGGAAGCUGCCACACACCGUCGCAAUGUACUUGGAAUCCACUUCCUUUAUCACAUUAACUACAAUUUCCUGUCAUAUGGAAAAAAGAUGGAGAUAUCAUUUGAUCUCUUUUUCAGUCAUUUGGUUCAUCCACAACAGCAAUUUCUGGCUUGUUUAACCCAGGAAUUGACACUAGCUAGCUGAAGGUGCUUCCACUUUGAAUUAACAACUGAACACCACCUCAUUGCUGGACUUUUAUCAUGACAACCUGGAAAGCUUUAGUUGUUUAAAGGUCAGGAUUCACCUUCAGCAAUAGACAGAAGCCUGGAUUAGGGUUCUUGCUAACCAAACAACAAACCACUGGUCAACUUUGGGUUGCUUAACCUCCAAACAACCAUGAGUUUCCAAGUUCAGACCCCAUAACAUUCUGGAAAUAUGGCGUGCCAGGGUUGUUUACUGAAAGCAGAAGUGACAAGCACGUGAGAGGUAGUGAACUUGCUACCUUCUGUUUGACCUCUACGACCCACAGUUUAAACCACCCCGAGGUAUUAUGCACAAAGUGGAACACUGAGUCUUGUGCCAUUUUCCUUAGCGAGGAAGACAGGCACUCGUGCUCACCUGCAUCUCCAGCAUCUCCUUCCUAGGAAUUCUUUUCUCAAAGUCUUCAAAAUACCUGCACAUUUGAAAGAAACAGGAAUGAGGAAAUAGAGAAAAGGCAGUGUUCCUCAAAACUUAUUUCCAUGCAAGUUCUGCUGAAAUCAAACAUGCUGAUUCUGUGAAGAACCAAAUGAUCUAGAAGAAGCAGAGUCAAACAGUCAGUUAAGCAUUGCUUCGGUCAACGGAGGGGAAGAAGCCACUUGGCAUGACUUCAGCAGCAACACGCUCAUCUGUUCAGUGGGAACUGUGGGCUGUGAUCCCAGGGGAUGGCUGAAAGGGAGCAGAGUCCCACUCGUUGUCUCCGACAAAUUCAAAUACUUCUUCCACUAACAGUGUAGGUUCUUGCACUGACUUUGGAGAACAAGCACACCUGAGCCAAGGCUUCCUCAGUCGCUUCUAAGCACAGGACACAACUGAGUGGGGCUUCCUCCUAGUGUCUGAGAACAGAGAUCAAAUGGCAGGGGGCACAGGAGCCAGGAGAAAUGGGCCCGCAGGAGCCAGGCUGGCCUCGCAAAGGACUGCGAAGACUUUGGGGUGCAGGCAUGGACAACGGCAACUGCACAAAGCCCGAGCAACACCACUGCAAGCAACGUAGUGCUGCUCGGCACUGAGCUGCCCAGAGCUCCCACCCUGCCUGCAGAUUCCUGGGCAAGGAAGCAGGUUUGCGUAGUGGAUGAGUGGCUCGAUCCGCCACACCUCAAGUGAGAACACAGAGCAGACUCACCAUCCAGCGUUUUAAUGCCUUCAUCCACUAGUUUCCUGGCAGCAGCUGGACUGCAAAGCAAGAAGGCAGCUCAUCAGAGAUCCUGACACACCAUUUGAUCAGAUCAGAUCGCAUCUCCAGCUAGCACAACGCUAGUUCUAACUGAGGCACGGCACUGGCAGGUGGCUCACCCAAGGCAAGUGCAAGAAGCCAUCCAGAGAAACCUGCUCGGACAGCGAGCACAGGCUCGCUGGGGUGGGAAAGGUGGCAGCCUGCGAAGGCCUGGGAGUGCACAUAAUUCAGAAGCAACUGCAACAGGGUGGAUAUUGGGCGGCUUGGCCUGUGCGGGGGCCGAGAGGCAGAUCAGUCGCUAGCACCCGUGGCUGUCAACCCGGGUCACCCACAAGACUGACUUGUCUUUGCUCACACAUACAGCCCAGGAGGAGGAACAGCCUGUUGCCGGGUUGUGCGCUGAGGACUGUUCAAACCACUAGCUGCUGCUGCAGGUGAACACAGAGGCACGGGGGUGUGCAGGUGGUGGCGACGGACUGCAGGGACUGGUAAAAAGCAGCACAGCAGCCGCUCUGUGCAGCAGCACACAGUGCUACAGGGGCAUUCGGGGCAGCGACAGCAUUGCAGAAGCAGGAAGAAUCUGCAUGGAUGGUACCACCCGGAAGCAACCAGUUCUCGGGGUGAUGACAAAAAAAGGAAAAGCAUCAGAGGGGUGCAAUGCUUGGACUGCUGGACGGGGGCAGGCAGCUCCAAGGUUCUAGUCUGCUCUUCACCAUGAAGCUCCACGGGUGACUGUGGGCCAGGUUCUUAGCCUAACCUACGUGGCAGGGUUGUGCUUGUGAGGAUAAAAGGACGAGGAGAAUUAUAUACACCACUUAAGGAGGCCCACCAACAGAAUAAACACAAGUGAAGCAAAAGUGGGACAAAAAGACAUUUAGCAUCAUAUAUAGCAAUUGCAGGAGACAACAUAAAAGCAAGGGAAGAGAGUGACAGAGCAAAAUCAGAAACAGGAGCAGCCAAUCCCAAAAAGUUGUAAGACGCAUAUAAAGAAAAGGAGCUCCAGCUGGAAUGGGAGGCUAGACUGGAGGCACCAAGUCAGCCUCCCUGGGAAGGGCAUCCUGCAAUGGCCAAGCCAGGGCAGCAUUUGACUGAUGGCCAGCCAGCUACACCCUGGCUACAUCUAGCAACGGGGAGAGCCUUUCCCCUCUCCAUGCCAGCCUGCAGCUGGAAUCGGCUCCCCCACAAGCUGCAGCUGCAGGGCACGCCUGCCUCAGGCCGGUGACCAGCCACUUCCUAGCCACCUGAAGGCAGCCUUCCGGCCUCCUCCUGCCCCUCCACCAGAGGGAUUGCAGGAUGGGGGCACUGCCGCAGCAGCACCAGAAGGGCAGUUCGGCCCCCUGCAAAAUGUUCCGCAGAGGAACAGCAACCUGCUUGCUGCUCAUCCAAGGGAGCUGGGCACCACUGCUCAGAGGCAAGACUGCUGUUCUCCAUGGGUACCACCACUGCACCCGCUCUCUCCCUCAGACCCCUUUCCUACCCCAAGUUGUUCAAAUGCAUACACAUUUACCCUAUUCCACUAACUCUGGUGAGGAAAUUGAUGGAAGAGCUCGUAUCAUCCUGCCGAAUCUAAAGGGGAUAAAAGUAGACUCAGUCACCUGCAGCCCUGCACAAAGGUGUUCAACCAAGACACAUGAAGCUGAAAGAGCAGCUGGUGGACACGGUCCUGCGCAGCUCAAGAGAGCUUCCUCGGUGGAUCGGGGGCCGCAGAGAACCCUGCCCUUGCUCUGCCCCCUCCUCUCCCUGCUCAAUGGGAGCACCUGGGCCAGUGGCAGCCCAGCAGCAGUGAGACUGCCGGGGCCCAGCGCUAUGUGCAAGGCACACUGGGUGCUCCACACAGGUUUCAGGCGCCGCUAAGGUGGCAGGGAAGAUGCUCUGCUGGGAGCUGGAUUGAUCCCUGGCACCUUCAGGCUGGAAAGACCACUGCCUGCAAACCUAGCAUGCCAUUUUAUUACUGUUUGCCUGAUGAAGAGAUCAGCGUGUCUUAAAAGCAUGCAUGUUUUGUGAUCACUGAGCAAGCCUAAUCAAGGUACCAGACAAAUAUAAAUGUUCAAAUAUCAA